GGAAUUUUGGGCAAUGGGCGAAAGCCUGACCCAGCAACGCCGCGUGAGGGAUGAAGGCCUUCGGGUAGUAAACCUCUGUCGGGAGGGAAGAACGUCCUCUGGGUGAACAAUCCCGGCGGCUGACGGUACCUCCAAAGGAAGCGCCGGCUAACUCCGUGCCAGCAGCCGCGGUACUACGGAGGGCGCAAGCGUUGUUCGGAAUCAUUGGGCGUAAAGCGCGUGUAGGCGGCUUGGCAAGGCGAGUGUGAAAGCCCGGGGCUCAACCCCGGAAGGUCGCUCGAAACUGCCUCGCUCGAGUCCCGGAGAGGAAGGCGGAAUUCCCGGUGUAGAGGUGAAAUUCGUAGAUAUCGGGAGGAACACCAGCGGCGAAGGCGGCCUUCUGGACGGUGACUGACGCUGAGACGCGAAAGCGUGGGGAGCAAAC
rnacentral:rRNA from 1 species